UGCAGUCGACGGUAAGGCCCCUUCGGGGGUACACGAGUGGCGAACGGGUGAGUAACACGUGGGUAAUCUGCCCUGCACUUCGGGAUAAGCCUGGGGAAAACUGGGUCUAAUACCGGAUAUGAACUCCUGCCGCAUGGUGGGGGUUGGAAAGUUUUUCGGUGCAGGAUGAGCCCGCGGCCUAUCAGCUUGUUGGUGGGGUAAUGGCCUACCAAGGCGACGACGGGUAGCCGGCCUGAGAGGGUGAUCGGCCACACUGGGACUGAGACACGGCCCAGACUCCUACGGGAGGCAGCAGUGGGGAAUAUUGCACAAUGGGCGAAAGCCUGAUGCAGCGACGCCGCGUGGGGGAUGACGGUCUUCGGAUUGUAAACCCCUUUCAGUAGGGACGAAGCGCAAGUGACGGUACCUGCAGAAGAAGCACCGGCUAAUUACGUGCCAGCAGCCGCGGUAAUACGUAGGGUGCGAGCGUUGUCCGGAAUUACUGGGCGUAAAGAGCUCGUAGGCGGUUUGUCACGUCGUCUGUGAAAUCCCUCGGCUUAACCGGGGGCGUGCAGGCGAUACGGGCAGACUUGAGUACUACAGGGGAGACUGGAAUUCCUGGUGUAGCGGUGAAAUGCGCAGAUAUCAGGAGGAACACCGGUGGCGAAGGCGGGUCUCUGGGUAGUAACUGACGCUGAGGAGCGAAAGCAUGGGUAGCGAACAGGAUUAGAUACCCUGGUAGUCCAUCCCGUAAACGGUGGGCGCUAGGUGUGGGGUCCUCCUCGGACUCCGUGCCGUAGCUAACGCAUAAG
rnacentral:rRNA from 1 species